rnacentral:rRNA from 1 species
GCGACCGGCGCACGGGUGAGUAACGCGUAUGCAACUUACCUAUCAGAGGGGGAUAGCCCGGCGAAAGUCGGAUUAAUACCCCAUAAAACAGGGGUCCCGCAUGGGAAUAUUUGUUAAAGAUUCAUCGCUGAUAGAUAGGCAUGCGUUUCAUUAGGCAGUUGGCGGGGUAACGGCCCACCAAACCGACGAUGGAUAGGGGUUCUGAGAGGAAGGUCCCCCACAUUGGUACUGAGACACGGACCAA